GACGAACGCUGGCGGCGUGCCUAAUACAUGCAAGUCGAGCGCAGGAAACCGUCUGAACCCUUCGGGGGGACGACGGUGGAAUGAGCGGCGGACGGGUGAGUAACGCGUAAAGAACCUGCCCACGGGUCUGGGAUAACCACGAGAAAUCGGGGCUAAUACCGGACGGGUCAUCGGACCGCAUGGUCCGAGGAUGAAAGGCGCUCCGGCGUCGCCCGUGGAUGGCUUUGCGGUGCAUUAGCUAGUUGGUGGGGUAACGGCCCACCAAGGCGACGAGGCAUAGCCGACAUGCGAGGGUGAUCGGCCACACUGGGACUGAGACACGGCCCAGACUCCUACGGGAGGCAGCAGUAGGGAAUCUUCCACAAUGGACGAAAGUCUGAUGGAGCAACGCCGCGUGAACGAUGAAGGCCCUCGGGUCGUAAAGUUCUGUUGUAAGGGAAGAACAAGUGCCGCAGGCAAUGGCGGCACCUUGACGGUACCUUGCGAGAAAGCCACGGCUAACUACGUGCCAGCCGCCGCGGUAAGAC
rnacentral:rRNA from 1 species